UAUACGAAUAUAUGCAUGAGAUGAUUUUAACUGUUAAUUUCAGUUUAUUAUUAUGCCCUUUAUGAAAAUGAAAAUGUUUAUGAAAUGAGAUGGAAUGUUUAUGAAAUGAUUGACUGCCAAAAAUGUUUAUGUUUUUAUAUGUAUCCUAUCUGUGUUGGUUCGCCAACUUUAAAGGAAAUCCAAUUGGGAUCCUAUGCUAGACAAAGGUCGCUAGCUAGGGUUAACGUGUACACUCAUGGAGACCGCGAGUCGCUUGCGACCGGUCUUGGCGUCCGUGGUAAGGAGGCCUCCUUCCCGGCGCGUGACAGAAAGGACAGAUAUGGAUCAUAUAGACUGAAAAUGGGAUGCAUCCACCUUUAUGAAAAUGAAAGAAAUGUUUUAAGUAAGCGCAGGUUGAGCAGGCGAUGGAAUGGUUUGGUGUUGAGCGGGAAUUCUUUUGAUGGAUAUGUAAUGAAACCUUGAGUAUGCAUCUCCAUAUGCAUAACUCACACGUUUUUCCGCUGCAAACACUCUGAAUUUGUUAUCGUAUUGUGGAACUUAUUACUCCUUCUUUUUGUUUAACUUUCACUUGGGUCUAGUCGUUAUGGCAUAAUCGUUUG